AAUCAACGCUGGCGGCGUGCCUAACACAUGCAAGUCGAACGCGGUUGCCCCGCAAGGGGCAACUGAGUGGCAAACGGGUGAGUAACACGUGGGUGACCUGCCUUCGAGUGGGGGAUAACGUUUCGAAAGGAACGCUAAUACCGCAUGACAUCCUGCCUUUGGACAGGCGGAGAUCAAAGCUGGGGAUCGCAAGACCUGGC
rnacentral:rRNA from 1 species